GUAUUACUGGUUAUUUGUAGGAGAUUCACAUUGCGAGAGUAGUCUGUUAAAGCGUAGGAGCAGGAAACUUCGCUUCUCUUAAGAUAAGACCUCACACACCUCUCAGGAAGGAUUUACAGAGAGAGACACAUGUUGUACAUAUUAGGGAUUACCAUUGGCCUCAUUUGCAUCAUUAUAUGCUUUUCAAAUGGCCUAAAAGAGAGAAAUGCUUUGAUGCGCAGAAAUAAAGGUGGAAAUCCUCAAAAUCCUGAACACAAGGAAGCCAACAAGAAAAAGUUAACUGAACAAGACUAUCACUUGUUGGCCAAAGUCCUGUCAGUUGGAUUGGUAGACGCAGACCCCAAUUAUCUUCAACACCUCAAGAACUACAGGGACCUGCGUGGUAGCACUUCCUGAAGGAUCCACACACCAGGAAAUGUACGGCACAGUUAUUUCUGGAGCCAAUCACAUUUGGUACCCUGGAAAAGUUAUCCACCUAUAUAAAAAAAACAUUAACGGGCAAUGUGAGAAUGAAGAAGGAUCCUCUCAUGGGCCCACAGUUGUCAUUGGAGUGAUGUGCUGCCCUUUUAUUUUAUUAGUUGAUUAAUGAAUAAUGUAAUGAUUAGUUAUAAAACUGCAUAUUUUACUAUUUGUAAAAAAACAAAAAAACAACUAUAAUAGCUCACAUACUGUUCAUGAUUUCCACUUAACAGAUAUGUGCGAUAUAAAAGUGUUUAUACAGCUUCUGGAAACAUAAUGAUAUUCCAAUCUCAAGACUAAAAGUUAAAACAGUUGGUAAGAUAUUUUAUCACCUCGUGUAUACUCUCAUAUUCUCAUUUGGUCAAGUUGUAGCCAGAGAAUUAGAAAGUGGAAAAUUAUUGUUUUGAAAAUGUGAUAACUUCUUGGUAGGAAAGGACUAAACCGAUCAACUGAGUUCUAUUUUUCAAUUGUCAUAUGCUGAUUACAUUUAUUUUAAAAAGAACAA